rnacentral:snRNA from 1 species
AUCGCUUCUCGGCCUUUUGGCUAAGAUCAAGUGUAAAGGGUUAACGUAUAAUCAUAGAACAUUUUAUUCAGAAAAUAAAGGCUUUAAAGAUUCUCUAAUUUUCACUUUCCGCAAAAUUUUAGGAAGUAUCUAUA